rnacentral:sRNA from 1 species
GGACCCGGCCCCUGCCUCUUGGGGUUAGGAAGGCCGUGGGACUCGUGACAGGCACCUCUCUGCAUGGCCUGCAGUCUUGCCCAGAGACGGAGCCGAUGGGUGAAGGCCCCUCCUCAUGCCCGUUUGGCAGCUGUGCCUGAUGACUACUUGCCCCAGGAGAAGGGGCCGUAGGGCCAGGGGGCCCUGAGGUGCUGGGCAGGAGCCUCACAGACCCCCGUCUGCCCACAGUGAGGCCGUCUGGGAGAACAUGGCGCGCAUGUGCGUGAAGACCCAGCGGCUGGACGUGGCCAAGGAGGACGCCGAGCAGCUGUACAGGAAGUGCAAGCGCCACGACCUCCUGAACAAGUUCUACCAGGCUGCAGGCCGGUGGCAGGAGGCCCUCCAGGUAGCCGAGCACCACGAUCGCGUGCACCUGCGCAGCACCUACCACCGCUAUGCCGGGCACCUGGAGGCCAGCGCCGACUGCAGCCGGGCCCUCAGUUACUACGAGAAGUCGGACACGCACCGCUUCGAGGUGCCCAGGAUGCUGUCGGAGGACCUGCCGUCCCUGGAGCUCUACGUGAAUAAAAUGAAGGAUAAGACCCUGUGGCGGUGGUGGGCGCAGUACCUGGAGAGCCAGGGCGAGAUGGACGCCGCGCUGCACUACUACGAGCUGGCCCGGGACCACUUCUCCCUGGUCCGCAUCCACUGCUUCCAGGGCAAUGUCCAGAAGGUAAGGUCCC